rnacentral:rRNA from 1 species
UACAGAGGGUGCGAGCGUUAAUCGGAAUUACUGGGCUUAAAGGGUCCGUAGGCGGGACUGCAGGCGUCGAGUGAAAUACCACGGCUCAACCGUGGAACUGCUCGGCGAACCGCAGUUCUUGAGGCGAGUAGAGGCGAUCAGAACGAUAGGUGGAGCGGUGAAAUGCGUAGAUAUCUAUCGGAAUGCCAAAGGUGAAGACAGGUCGCUGGGCUCGUCCUGACGCUGAGGGACGAAAGCGUGGGGAGCAAACGGG